rnacentral:misc_RNA from 1 species
GAAAUGUGAUACGUAAUGUGAAUUGCAUAAUUCAGUGAAUCAUCGAAUCUUUGAACGCACCUUGCACCUUUUGGUUUAUUCCGAAAGGUACACCUGUUUGAAUGUCACAAAACUCCCCUCGGCUCUAAUGCUUUCUAAAAGGAUUAGAGACGGAUUCUGAGUGUUGGCGUGAAUACGCCUCGCUUUAAAUUGAUCAGCACUUUUGGAUGGUUGAAGUUUAGUUCGAAAGACGUACUUGAUGUUGUAUUUAUAUGUCAUUGAGGCAGUCUUUGGUCGUUCCGACUAUCUGCUAAUACGAAAACUUGAAGAAUAGCUUCCUAACCCUAUUUAUUUAACCUUUAGACUUCAAAUCAGGUGGGACUACCCGCUGAACUUAA